GAUGAACGCUGGCGGCGUGCCUAAUACAUGCAAGUCGAGCGAACGGACGAGAAGCUUGCUUCUCUGAUGUUAGCGGCGGACGGGUGAGUAACACGUGGAUAACCUACCUAUAAGACUGGGAUAACUUCGGGAAACCGGAGCUAAUACCGGAUGAUAUUUUGAACCGCAUGGUUCAAAAGUGAAAGACGGUCUUGCUGUCACUUAUAGAUGGAUCCGCGCUGCAUUAGCUAGUUGGUAAGGUAACGGCUUACCAAGGCAACGAUGCAUAGCCGACCUGAGAGGGUGAUCGGCCACACUGGAGCUGGGACACGGUCCAGACUCCUACGGGAGGCAGCAGUAGGGUAUGGUCCGCAGUAGGCGGAAGCCUGACGGAGCAGCGCCACGUGAGAGAUGAAGAUCUUCGGAUCGUGAAGCUCUGUUAUUAGGGAAAAACAUAUGUGUAAGUAACUGUGCACAGCUUGACGGUAACUAAUCAGAAAGCCACGGCUAACUACGUG
rnacentral:rRNA from 1 species